rnacentral:lncRNA from 1 species
GAACAUGGAAAGAGGAAAAAAAUGUUAACUCCUAUGUCAUAGCCAGGGACGGAAGGAAGCAAAUCCCACCCGCCUUGAGGCAUUUGAUUUCAAGGGCCCUCUCUUCAGGCAGCAUGUGUUUGUGGGGAGCAGAGGCUCGGCAUACACGCAGCUAUAAGCAACUUGCCAAAACCCACUCGGCAAAACACCGUCCCGCUGACGUAGCUGAGGGGGUGACUGCCGUGAGAAGCCACAUGGAGCAAACCCUCCAGUCUCUCCAGAGUGGUGGGAUGAAUAAUAUUACUGGAUGAUGUGUGGGCAUUUAAUCAGACCCACAUGUAUGCAAAAUCAAACACACAUAUAUGCAGAGCGACUAAAGAACAGAGACUUAUCUGUCCGGAUUCUGGAGCAACAUGAAAAAAAAAGAUAGAUUUUUUUCUUCAAACCCAAAUCUGUUCCCUUAUACACUGUAGAUGUAUUACAAAUUACUUUUUUUUUUUUUUUCAAAGAAAGAGAUUAAAAAUG